AAGUCGUAACAAGGUAACCGUAGGUGAACCUGCGGUUGGAUCAUUAACAAAUUCAAUCAAAAAUUAGAGGGAAACCUCUUUUUUUUACACACAAUGUGAACUGUUUAUUGUUUCUGGGUGGUUCUUUAUUUCUUUUUUAAAGAUACGUCUUAUAAAAAGAAAUUACCCACCCAAAUUUUAAAACUUACUAUUAAUUGGCCUUUAUAUCUUAUAAAAAAAAGUUAAAUUAAAAAACAACUUUUGGCAACGGAUCUCUAGGCUCUU
rnacentral:misc_RNA from 1 species